GGCACCAUGGCUCAGUUGGCUUAAAGCACCUGCCUCAUAAACAGGAGAUCCUGGGUUCGAAUCCCAGUGGUGCCU